CCCUUAGAUGUUCUGGGCCGCACGCGCGCUACCCUGAUGCAUUCAACGAGUCUAAAACCUGCUCUGAUAGGGGUGGGUAAUCUUUUGAAUGUGCAUCGUGAUUGGGAUAGAUGAUUGCAAUUUUUCAUCUUCAACGAGGAAUGCCUAGUAAACGCAAGUCAUCAGCUUGCAUUGAUUACGUCCCUGCCCUUUGUACACACCGCCCGUCGCUCCUACCGAUUGAAUGAUCCGAUGAAUAUCAUGGAUUGAGGAUGUAAGCAGGUUCGCCUGUCUUCAUCUUCGAGAAGUGAAGUAAAUCUUAUCAUUUAGAGGAAGGAGAAGUCGUAACA
rnacentral:rRNA from 1 species